rnacentral:rRNA from 1 species
UACAGAGGGGGCAAGCGUUAUUCGGAAUUAUUGGGCGUAAAGGGCGCGUAGGCGGCUUGGCAAGUGGAUGGUGAAAUCCCUCGGCUUAACCGAGGAACUGCCAUCCAGACUGCUUUGCUUGAGGCCGGGAGAGGUGAGUGGAAUUCCCAGUGUAGCGGUGAAAUGCGUAGAUAUUGGGGGGAACACCAGUGGCGAAGGCGGCUCACUGGACCGGUUCUGACGCUGAGGCGCGAAAGCGUGGGGAGCAAACGGG